AAAGAGUCAACCCAUCCUAUUUAAAUCCCAAUAUCCAUGCUAUCAUCUAAGAAUUGUAAUCCGUCUAUGUCAAUGGUGAUAAAGUUUCAACGGAAUUCUUGCGAGAAUUUUUAGCAUCGUAGCAACAUUAAAUUUUGUGGUUCUAAAGGAGUACGGUGCAACCUUUUCCAAGAAUAUCAUAUGGAUUUUUCCUUACUCCAGGUAUGUUAAGGCUAUCCAUUUUAUUUUCUUGGCAUGAUCCCAGUUAUACAGAAGAAACGAGCAAAUACACAGUUAAUACGCAGUUAAAAAAGUUUAUCUGGAAGGAGUAUGAGAUUAUAACAUAUUUUUCAUGCAUUUCAUUCAUUUAUACAUGUACAUUGAUCCAUGACAAGAUGGCGUUAUAUACGCGCAUUUAUAUGUAUAUACAUAUAUNNNNNNNNNNNNNNNUGGAAAAAAGGUUACGGCGUUAUAUAUGGACCACCACCUGAUCACUUGUUAUGUGUUGAUGAUGUUGCCCACAGUGGUCGAGAUGAUAUAAUGAGAUGCCCUCAGUGGCUUGAUGAUGUUAUGUACACCUCUACCCAUGCAUGGCACGAUAUUUAUAUACACGUGCAUAACAUUAUAAAUGCUUCAUAAUUUACAAAGUUACUCAGAUUUACAGAUGGAUUUCAUGAUUCCAUGUUACAUCUAUGCCUUUUACGUACUAAUUUUCAUGCCUUACAUACUCAGUACAUUUUGUCGUACUGAUGCCCUAUUUCACGGGGCCUACGUUUCAUGCCCACAGGUGCAGGUAGGCAAGCUGAUGGACCCCCUUCUAAGGAUCCUUGAUCCGCGAGAGUUGGCGUGCUCCACUCGAUCCGGAGGUGCUUUAGAUUUUCGUACGAUACGCUUGUAUACAUAAAUGGGUUUGAUGUGGCUCAGUCCCGUAUUUGUAUUGUUGUAUUGCUGUUAGAGGUGCGUAGAUAGUAUGUCUAGUUGGAUAGUAUGUGGCCUUACCGGUUGGCAGUUUUGAGGUAUACAGUUAUCUAUAGUAGCCUAGUUGGCUCGCC
rnacentral:lncRNA from 1 species